GGCACAAAUUAGAAGUAGAGUAGAUUUAUAGGAUCAGGUGAUCAUACUAAUCUACUUUGCUUCGAAUUUGUGUCC
rfam:Haemonchus placei strain MHpl1 genome assembly, scaffold: HPLM_scaffold0000670